rnacentral:misc_RNA from 1 species
UCGUAACAAAAGCGUAAGAGACGCUCCAAGGCUGUCGCCGACUCGAAAGGGUCGUGCACGCCGGAAGGGCGUCCUCUUACGUGAAAUCCACCUCACCCCUUUUGUGCACCACCGCGUGGGCUUCCUCCUCGAGGGGGCUCGCGUUUUUCACACAAACACCCUUUGUAAACGUCUUGUAGAAUGUCCUCAUUUUGUUUGCGUUGACGCGCGAUCAAUA